GACGAACGCUGGCGGCGUGCUUAACACAUGCAAGUCGAACGGAAAGGCCCAGCUUGCUGGGUGCUCGAGUGGCGAACGGGUGAGUAACACGUGGGUGAUCUGCCCCUAACUUCGGGAUAAGCUUGGGAAACUGGGUCUAAUACCGGAUAGGACAAUCGUUUAGUGUCGGUUGUGGAAAGUUUUUUCGGUUAGGGAUGAGCCCGCGGCCUAUCAGCUUGUUGGUGGGGUAAUGGCCUACCAAGGCGUCGACGGGUAGCCGGCCUGAGAGGGUGGACGGCCACAUUGGGACUGCGAUACGGCCCAGACUCCUACGGGAGGCAGCAGUGGGGAAUAUUGCACAAUGGGAGCAAGCCUGAUGCAGCGACGCCGCGUGGGGGAUGACGGCCUUCGGGUUGUAAACCUCUUUCGACAGGGACGAAGCUUUGGUGACGGUACCUGUAUAAGAAGCACCGGCUAACUACGUG
rnacentral:rRNA from 1 species